UACGGCCACAUUACGUUAAACCACCAGUUCCCGUUCGAUCACCGAAGUUAAGCAAUGUCGAGCCUCGUCAUUACAUAGAUGGGUGCCCGCUUGCCAAUACCAAGUA